GGACGAAAGGACAUUAAAAGGAUUUACUUUAUUUUUUUAUUACAGAAAAUGGGAUGGAAACUGGAGACGGCUCCAACCCGAUCAACUGCCAAUUUGGAGGAAGAGAUAAGUAUUGGGAUCAUUCAUGAACCGACUUGGCAGGUGGAAAAGGGUAAAAAAUAAGGAAAUUUGAAAAAACUUAGGCAGCUACGCCCCCCAAAUUCGUCUGAAGGCUGCUUCAAACUCUCUCAUAUACGUUUUACAAUUACACUACUUUCUUUCUACAAAAACCCUAGAUUUGAUUUGCUGUGUCUCCCUCACGUCUCCUCUCCUUCUCCCUCUCUCUUCUCUCUUCCAGCCGAACCAUCCUUCUUUCCCCUAACCUCAGAAGAUAAGACAACAACGACGGUUUUGUUGUGGAGAACUGAAGCCUGGAACUCUCGUUACAAACUUCAGCGGCACCAUCGCUGCUGCCGCGAGCAUUGAAAUGUGAUCCGCAGGACCGCCUCCGAUUCAUAAAUUUCGUCAAAUUUUGGCAUUCGGAUGCAUCCAUGGAGCAAAAUCUUCACUUUCACGCCAAGCGGUUUCCAGAUCCACCGUUUUGAAGACUGCCAAGGGCUUCGUUUCGUUAACGAGGCCAUUGAAAGGUGGAAUGCCUUCUUUUGCUGAAAUUGUUCGAGCCAACGAUGAAAUUCAGAGAAACUUCAUGGAGUAAACCAGUGAAAUGUGGCCAUCUUUCGGCUAAGUGGGUUGUAAGUAUAUAAUUCUUUUAUUUCUAAUUUAGUUUUUCUAUAUCUUUUGCAUACACAAUCAAUAUAUGAUAUUCCCUUUGAGAGCAGCUUUUGUUCUGAUGUCUAUAUCGUUUGUAACUUUGUAUGCAUUGCAUUUUGGUGACAUUUGUAAGUAGUAUAUUUUAUUCUUCAAUAUCUCAUACUUAUUAAGAGUGUGGUGUAUUGAUCUCCUUGUUCU